rnacentral:rRNA from 1 species
GCUGGAGCUUGCUCCGGCGGAUUAGUGGCGAACGGGUGAGUAACACGUGAGCAAUCUGCCCUUGACUCUGGGAUAACUGCGGGAAACUGUAGCUAAUACCGGAUACUUUCCUCGGUGGGCAUCCACUGAGGAAGAAAGAAUUUCGGUCAAGGAUGAGCUCGCGACCUAUCAGCUAGUUGGUGAGGUAAAGGCUCACCAAGGCGACGACGGGUAGCCGGCCUGAGAGGGUGACCGGCCACACUGGGACUGAGACACGGCCCAGACUCCUACGGGAGGCAGCAGUGGGGAAUAUUGCACAAUGGACGAAAGUCUGAUGCAGCAACGCCGCGUGAGGGACGAAGGCCUUCGGGUUGUAAACCUCUUUUAGCAGGGAAGAAGCGAAAGUGACGGUACCUGCAGAAAAAGCACCGGCUAACUACGUGCCAGCAGCCGCGGUAAUACGUAGGGUGCAAGCGUUGUCCGGAAUUAUUGGGCGUAAAGAGCUCGUAGGCGGUUUGUCGCGUCUGCUGUGAAAUUUCGAGGCUCAACCUC